GGAAGGGUUGCUAAUUUACACUGUUUGGUGAUUUUUUCUGCAGCUUUUGCAGAACAAGGGCUGUUGAAGUCCAAACACCAGUCAGACCAGUACAGAUCAUAUUGGUUACUCUCCGUCGUCCUGGGUAUUAUCGCGGCUGUGAGCAUCAUCAUUAACAUCCUCUUCCUUUUCAUCCACCUUGACGUGCAGCGAUGAUACGAUCCUGAACACGCCCACCUGUUACGUUUCCCUGGAUAUCAGCAAGAUCUGUUCUUCACCCACACGAAAUUGCUCCCUACAUCAUGACACUUCCUUUACCAAAUAUAUCAACUUAUUGUCCACAAUAUCCGGGAUAAGGCUGCUUCCGUCGCCGGUACAGUCGGGUCCAUCCAUCUUCUUUGGAGAAGAAACCAAACAACGUCUUGGAAGCCACUGCUGAAGUAUCGACACCACGAUUACGUUGAGUGAAAUAAAGCCAACGUAGGACCCUCUUGCUCGGAUUCCGGCGGGUCUCAGCAGAUAUGGGACGUAAAUCAGUGAUUUCUGUUACAGUGUACGUCGCAGUGAUGGUCCUGCUUCGAAUGUGAAGGACCAGGACAUAGCGAUUCUGGGCUGCUGUGGGUAUGCGAGGUCUCCUUGAUCUUGGACGAACGCUAUUGUGCUAUGUUACCGAUAUGGCGCCCAAAGUGGGACAUUGUACUCUGACAACGUUAUAAUGCCUGGACACUGAUGUCUGUGAUUCAUCAGCUUCAACUCCACUAAAAUCGUUAUUUCUCGCAUCAUUAGUGAGUUUUGGCUUCACGAUUCUGAAAUUCACUUCGUGACAGUGACAAGAAGCCCGUAACUAGUUAAAUGACUUUCACGUGAAAACUUCUUUUCAGAUUCCCCAAAAAAUGAUUCAUGCAAAGGCAAUAACAUUGUUUUGCAACACAUUUUCAUGUAGAAUUAGAGAACAAGUAGACUUUAUUUGUAUGAUGCAGUGCAUCAAGUUUCUAUCCAUAACAAUUACUUUUGAAAAUGUUGCUACUAAUAAUAAGAGAAUUUAUGGUGGACGUCUUCCGUCAAUUGUAGCUUCAACUAUGAUAUACUUACCUGUACUAUUUGAAUGCAAUGUAUUUUAAUUACAAUAUUGUUUUUGCCAUCGAAACCCCAUUGAUGUGUCAUUGUCAUUUGAU